AUUGAACGCUGGCGGCAUGCUUUACACAUGCAAGUCGAACGGUAACAGGCCUUCGGGUGCUGACGAGUGGCGAACGGGUGAGUAAUGCAUCGGAACGUGCCCAAUCGUGGGGGAUAACGUAGCGAAAGUUACGCUAAUACCGCAUAAGCCCUGAGGGGGAAAGUGGGGGACCGCAAGGCCUCGCGCUACUGGAGCGGCCGAUAUCAGAUUAGGUAGUUGGUGGGGUAAAGGCCUACCAAGCCGACGAUCUGUAGCUGGUCUGAGAGGACGACCAGCCACACUGGGACUGAGACACGGCCCAGACUCCUACGGGAGGCAGCAGUGGGGAAUUUUGGACAAUGGGCGCAAGCCUGAUCCAGCCAUGCCGCGUGCGGGACGAAGGCCUCGGUUGUAA
rnacentral:rRNA from 1 species